AUUGAACGCUAGCGGGAUGCCUUACACAUGCAUGUCGAACGGAGUGGCGAACGGGUGAGUAAUGUAUCGGAACGUGCCCAGUAGCGGGGGCUAACUACGCGCAAGCGUAGCUAAUACCGCAUACUAUUGGAGCUGCCGAUAGCGGGUUAGCUAGUUGGUGGGGUAAAGGCCCACCAAGGCGACGAUCCGUAGAUGGUUUGGGAGGACGCACAGCCACAAUGGGACUGAGCCACGGCCCAGACUCCUACGGGAGGCAGCAGAGGGGAAUUUUGGACAAUGGGGGAAACCCUGAUCCAGCCAGCCCGCGUGUGCGAUGAGGGCCUUCGGGGUGUAAAGCACGUUUGGCAGGAAAGCGGUACCUGCAGAAUAAGCACCGGCUAACUACGUGCCAGCAGCCGCGGUAAUAC
rnacentral:rRNA from 1 species